UUAAAAGCAGCCACAUGGCUCAAUAUGUAUAAAGCUCUUGUUUACUAAUUAAGGAGCUACCUCCUACCGAGUCAUUCACACUUCCUCUCCCUGUUUCCUUUCCUUAGAAAACCGUGUGACUACAAACUUGGCCCAGUACUUCUCAACAUGCAUUGUCAUCACAUUUAUUAACCUGAACACCUGCAAUCCUUGAACAACAUUUCUUUAGAUGGUAUGAUCAAAGUAAAACCAGCAUUGUAUGAACAAAAUUCUGGAGGCUGUGCAGUCCAAUAUCAAAAUACCAGCGUCUGGCGAGGGCCUUCUUGUCACUAAUCCCAGCCAUAAAAGUGGAAUCUUCAUGACCUAAUCAUCUUUUAAAAGUCUUGUCUCUUGUGUUAACUAUUGUUAGUCUCUUAUUAUUUUGUUGUGAAAUUUUGUUUUAUUUUUUCAAAAAAUAAAAAAGUUAAAAAUAAAAUAAAAGUCUCAUCUCUUAAUAUUGUUACAAUGGCAAUUCAAUUUCAACAUGAGUUUUGAGACAGGCAUAUGUUUAGGGAGGAAACAAACAUUCUAACUAUAGCAUAUUACAAAAACACAGAAAGUAAUUUAAUUAAAGGACACACAGGCCUUUGUCACUUAGAGCUGUU
rnacentral:lncRNA from 1 species